CCUACGGGUGGCAGCAGUGAGGAAUAUUGGUCAAUGGACGGAAGUCUGAACCAGUCAUGCCGCGUGCAGGAAGACGGCUCUAUGAUUUGUAACCUGCUUUUGUACAAGAGUAAAACUGAAGACGUGUAUUAAGCUGAAAGUACUGUACGAAUAAGGAUCGGCGAACUCCGUGCCAGCAGGCGCGGUAAUACGGAGGAUCCAAGCGUUAUCCGGAUUUAUUGGGUUUAAAGGGUGCGUAGGUGGAUUGAUAAGUUAGAGGUGAAAUGUCCGAGCUUAACUCUGGAAAUGCCACUAAUACUGUUGAUCUAGAGAGUAGGUGCGGUAGGCGGAAUGUAUGGUGUAGCGGUGAAAUGCGUAGAGAUCAGACAGAACACCGAUGGCGAAGGCAGCUUACCAAUCUAUAUCUGACGUUGAGGCACGAAAGCGUGGGGAGCAAACAGGAUUAGAUACCCGUGUAGUC
rnacentral:rRNA from 1 species